rnacentral:rRNA from 1 species
AUGGCGGAUCAGUGGGUGGUUUGUUUCUCCGAUCCGAUCCGCAGAUGGAUCGAGGGACGGCUACAACAUUCUUUGUCAUCGCGCUGGACGUCACUUCGUGAUAUGGAUAACGACAUCCUUGCCGGCGACUACCUGGCAGCGGACAUUCAGAUCGAGGUAGGGAUGCGUUUUAUUUUAGAUGACUUCGAUGUCCAUGUGUUGUCAUGUUUGCAGGAGGUUCAGAGAGAGGAGAUCGAAGUGAUCGAUUUGACGACGACGCACGAGGCGAUGCGGGAGGCGCCCGCGGCCAUUGCAAUGGCCAAGACGAUGGCGCCGGGGUCUUCGACGCCGGCCCGCGCUGACGCCCCCGGUGAUAGCCGGAGAGUGGGGGGGGGGGGAGAUUCUGGGCUCUAG